GACGAACCGUGCGAACGUUAUUCGGAAUCACUGGGCUUAAAGGGCGCGUAGGCGGGCCCGUCAGUCAGGGGUGAAAUCCCACGGCCCAACCGUGGAAGUGCCUCUGAUACUGCGGGCCUCGAGGGGGAUAGGGGCGUGCGGAACUCAGGGUGGAGCGGUGAAAUGCGUAGAUAUCGGGAGGAACACCUGUGGCGAAAGCGGCUCACUGGACCACAACUGACGCUGAGGCGCGAAAGCUAGGGGAGCAAACAGG
rnacentral:rRNA from 1 species